rnacentral:rRNA from 1 species
GAUGAACGCUAGCUACAGGCUUAACACAUGCAAGUCGAACGACCGGCGCCGGUGUGAGUAACACGUAUACACCCUCCCCUUUAGUGGGUGAUAACCUUUCGAAAGAACGAUUACUACACGAUCUGAGGGAUGGGGAUGCGUUCCAUUAGGUUGUUGGUGAGGGAACGGCUAACCAAGCCUUCGAUGGAUGGUGGUUCUGAGAGGAAGGUCCCCCACAUUGGAACUGAGACACGGUCCAAACUCCGACGGGAGGCAGCAGUGAGGAAUAUUGGUCAAUGGGCGCUAGCCUGAACCAGCCAAGUAGCGUGAAGGAUGAAGGCUUAGGGGUCUUAAACUUCUUUUAUAUAAGAAUAUGUAUUAUAUGAAUAAGGAUCGGCUAACUCCGUGCCAGCAGCCGCGGUAAUAC